ACCAGGGGGAGCAGAGUGUGUGAGCUGUGAAGGAGGCGCGUCACUCCCCGCCCUCAGUGAAUACACGCAUGAGCGGAGGGAAGUUUGUGUGUGUGCGUCUUUCACACAAUAUUCCCCUUUUUAGAACCACACACAUAUACCCAGGUAUACCUGAAGUGGGGAAUCGAGGGAUCUUAGGUCUGAGCUGCAGGGAGUGCUAGGGAGAUGUCCUUAAUGCUGCUCCACUACCCGCAGGUGUUCUGGGAUUAAAGGGACAAAACGUCCGAGAAGGGUGGCUCUGGGAUGAAGACCUUGCAGCUGGACACCUGGCACUGGUAGCAAGCAGCUUCAGGCUGAGUCCAGUCCAAGAUAUCUGAUGUUCUACAGGAUAGAACGGGUUUGGCGUUCACUGAUGACACGUCUGAAUGCACAGAGGAAAUGGCUGUGAUCAGUGAUGCCUUAGACAUUGAAAAUGAGGAUGACUCAGCAUCCAUGCAUCGAUAUGAAAGAGAGCAUCACUGAAGCUGGAGAAUGUGUUCAUCCACAUCAAGCCGAUAUUAUAUUAUAAUAUAAUAAUAUAAUAUAACAAUAAUAUAAUAUUUUUGUAGUUAUAUAUUAAUUAAUUAAUCCAUUCUUAGGUUCAGUUUUAUUCACUACAGCCUACAGUCACUUUCCCUAAUACAGUUUUCUGAAACAAGCACAGCAAAGUUAUUGUAUGUGGGUACUAACAGAGGGUAGAUAUUGAUUUUCUUUCUGAGUUUUGGUAUGUCUUAUUUGUAAUCGAUAUGUUGGGUGGAAAGAUGCCACAUGAUGAGAAGGCCUCUGGCAAAUCAGACGCAGCAAAUGGUAAGUUGUUGGUGUGUAAGGUGUGUCUCUAGUGGCUUAUUAAUGGGGUCAUAAAGAGGUGAACAGGUGAAAAAAAUUGAAGUCACGUUGGAGUGGAAGUCCGACAGUAGCUGACAUUAGUUAACUAAUAGUGGCAGCUUUUACAGCAACUAUCAAGCUAAAAAGCGAUUCAAGUGAGGUUUACUCUUAUAUUGUCACUGAAUACAGUAAUGGGUUUUUAUACAAUAGUCAACAUUAUUUUAUGAAUCAGCAACCAGGGAAAGAUUAUCUACCUUUAUGCUUCGUCCUCUAAGAUAAGUGGUUUGUAGUCAACCACACUGAAACAAGAGAUUUUGUAGCAUUUGUUGUUUACUGGGUAAAUGAGUAUAAUGUGGAUGAGAGGAUUUUAGAGUCAGGCGCACUAUUGACUCGCCAUGCCAACAAGUCCAACACGGAUCCCUGCGUGGUUUACUUUUACUCUUACAAGAUUUAAGAGAUGUACCAGAUGUGCAGAAAUUGUAAAAUAGAAAAAGAAAGAACUCUGAGCUGCUACUCUCAGCUUCCUUUCUCUGAGAAGUGCCAAAAACUGCAGUUCUUUGACUGGCUGGUAGAGUCUGCUGGCAGAAGCCUUUAUGACGUCUCCAUAUUAGUUAUAUUGUCCAACUUUACAACAGAAAUAAACGUGUACAGCCUGAGACAAAAACUGUUAUUGUCUCUGUUGAUAAUUUUCCCUGUUCGUACAAGGGAGAAUUAUUAUAUAACUCACCUGUUUACAUUAUAUUAAUGCUUAAAGUUGUGCAAAAUUGAGACUGACUGCUUUGAGUGGCAGGUGGGUAUCAUCACAGGUCACUAGCUGUCGACUUUGACAUUAUAGCCCGCCCCAUUCCACUUGCAUUUUACUCCAUUUUAUUCAGUGACUCCCAGGAAAAGCAAGUCAUUGAGUAAAAAAGAAAUGCAGGUGGUGGAAAAGACCAGGAAAAAACAGAGCAUGUAAUGCAUCUGUAACAGAUUUAAAAAGCUGGUGAUCCCACUUCCCAUUACAAGCUGUCUUACUGUUAUUACUGAAGGUGCACAGAAUUUAAUUUGUUGCAAAAUUAGCUGUUUAAUUAAUAUGCUAUUUGCGGUCUUAUUUUAUAUAUUUUACUACAGAGAUUUCCUGUUUUUAUUGUGUAUGAAUGCCACACUCAUGAGCCCAUGCAGACUUCACGUACUCUGUUAGUCUGCUGUCUCUGACUCUGGUUAAGCUCCGCCAAAGUACUUCACUUUUUAUGGUUGAGAGUGUGUUUUAUUUGCCAUAAAUGCGGAAACCAGCUCCCGAAAACACUGAUUAAUGUUCUUGCUGGGAAGGUGGAUUUUCUGUUUUAUUCACCUGUGCCUAAAUAAAUGGGGGUCCAAGCCAAACAGUGACUGAGAGUGAGUCAUCCUUUAAUCUACACAACGCACGAUACACUUCAAGGCAUCGCCGGGAGCACUUUGAGAAAGGACUUGGGAAGGGGGGAAAUUUUAUGUAAAAUGUUUAA